AGAGCGGCGGAUGCCGGGAAGUUGGUCAAACUUGAUCAUUUAGAGGAAGUAAAAGUCGUAACAAGGUUUCCGUAGGUGAACCUGCGGAAGGAUCAUUACCGAUAAACGAAUCCAAAAAGGUUAUGAUUAACCUCUGUGAACUGUACACAACCUUUAGGGGUCGGUCAUCGUGCCGUUAAAUAGGUCGUUCGUCCGUUGAUUCGGCGUUCGGCCAGCCCCGCCUUUUGUGAUUUGACGCACUUGAAUGUACCAGUCUGAAAUCUUGCUGCCUGUCCUGUCAGGUGGUACUGCAAAAUAAAAAUGAGAGAGACAACUUUUAACGGUGGAUCUCUUGGCUCACGUAUCGAUGAAGAACGCAGCCAGCUGCGAUAAGUAGUGUGAAUUGCAGAAUUCAGUGAAUCAUUGAAUCUUUGAACGCAAAUGGCGCUCUUGGGUUCUCCCAGGAGCAUGUCUGUCUGAGUGUCGGAUAUUAUCUAACGCACUCGAGUGUGCGGAAUUGAGGCGUCACGGCGUGACACAACUCGCCGUGUCCCUUGAAGGAAAGCGUGCUCGACUCGCAUCGUGCGGUUUCAAACCCGCGCGCUCCGUGCGAAGGCUAAAACUAUUUUGUCCUUCGUCGGGGCCCGGGUCCGCCAGCGCGAGCCGGCCGAAAAAGGUGACACUU
rnacentral:misc_RNA from 1 species